AUGUUCGGUUAAGUCCGCUAACGAGCGCUAACCCUCGCUGUGUGUUACAAGUGUCACACGGAACUGCCGGUCAUAAACCGGAGGAAGGUGGGGAUGACGUCAAGUCAGCAUGGCCUUUAUAUCCUGGGCUACACACACGCUACAAUGGGAAGGGACAAUAGGUUGCGAAGCCGCGAGGCGGAGCCAAUCCAGCAAAAACUUCCCUCAGUUCAGAUUGCAGGCUGCAACUCGCCUGCAUGAAGUUGGAGUUGCUAGUAAACGCAGGUCAGCCAUACUGCGUUGAAUACGUUCCCGGGGCUU
rnacentral:rRNA from 1 species